rnacentral:tRNA from 1 species
CCUUAAUUAGCUUAUAACAAAGCCUUAAACUCUUAAUUUAAAAGAAAAUAGCUAGAACCUAUUAUUAAGGG